GAUGAACGCUGGCGGCGUGCCUAAUACAUGCAAGUCGAGCGAACAGACGAUGAGCUUGCUCCUCUGACGUUAGCGGCGGACGGGUGAGUAACACGUGGAUAACCUACCUAUAAGACUGGUAUAACUUCGGGAAACCGGCGCUAAUACCGGAUAAUAUAUUGAACCGCAUGGUUCAAUAGUGAAAGACGGUUUUGCGGUCACUUAUAGCUGGAUCCGCGCCGCAUUAGCUAGUUGGUAAGUUAAUGGCUUACCAAGGCAACGAUGCGUAGCCGACCUGAGAGGGUGGUAGGCCGCCCUGGAGGUGGACCAGGGUCAAGACUACUGCGGGACGGAGCAGUAGGGAAUCUGACGCAGUAGGGGAAAGCAUUACGGAGCAACGCCACGUGAGUGAUGAAGACCUUCCGAGCGUAAAACUCUGUUAUUAGGGGAGAACAAAUGUCUAAGUAACUAAGCACGGCUUGACGGUACCUGAUAAAAAAGCAACGGCUAACUACGUG
rnacentral:rRNA from 1 species